GUGCUCCAGGCCUCUAGGGGGCGCGCUACGUGGAACAGAUUGAUGUCUGACCAGACCUAGAGAAAACGAACAAGAGGAAAUUGGGAGGAAAGAAAGUUCAUUUAAGGGGAGAAAGAUAUAAGAAGGCCGCCAUGUUGUGUCCUUUCUGUGGCCAACAUCUGGGGACAGUUCAAGUGUUCUGUGGCUCCUGUGGCAAACAUGUACAGUUUGUGGCAGAAGUUGAACACAACAGCAUUCCAUAAGGAGGGUCAGGAACUCAUGCUUGGGACCACCAGUGUCCCCUCCAUCCUCAGUGUGUUCCUCAUCAUCAGUGAACUUAACUGACAUCUCAUGAGAGGGAUCGAAUGAGGCACCUUUGAAGCCGCAGAUUUCUCCAUCCCACACAUUGGCUCUAUUCAUAUUGAACCUGCUGCAAUUUGUAUUUGUUAUUUUUGCAGAGAGUUCUGCAACAAUGUCCUCCGCAGUCAGGUAUUCUGUGCUGGGAAAGACAAAGUGAUGUAUUGUAAUAUUAAAUUAAAUAAGAUUACAGUAUAGAAUAGAACAAUUAAGUGGUAAUAGUAACAAUUAAUACCUUUGCUCCAUUUUGUCUUCUGGCUCAGACUGGCUAUCAAUAAUGACAAGUGCAUACACAUUUGUGUAGUUGCUGCAGUGAGAAGACAGUUGAAUAACUAUUUUCAAAUACAUAAUAUAUGGAUGACUUUUACGUUCCCUUCUAAAUCUCGGGGUACAAAGGGAAGUAACAACACACAAAAUAACCGGCCGAGAGAAAAAGGAGAGGACACUGAAUGCUGAAGCCACAAAGUGAGGUUUUAAUUAAUAAAAAAGUAAAGAGGCUCACCAGCCAAAUUGCAAAACAAACUUAAUUAACUAAGGACAACUUUCUUUCAAAAGAAAGGGACUAACGUAAAACAAUACACAAAGACACACAUCUCCUAACAAUUAGCAGUACACAGGUUAAACUAGGCCUCACACAGAGACACUACACUACAGCACGUAACACAGGCUGCACACAUGCAGCCAGAGGAGAAGGAGAGAACGACUGCAGCCUUCCUCAGGUCCUUUAUGGGGGCGCUGAUUGGGGAUUGGGAGCACCUGGGGAGAGGCUGCACCUGGAGACAAUCAGAGGGAGAGAGAGAGAGACACACACACAAAAGCACACACACAAGCACCAACUGCGGCACGUAACAGUUUGUCAUAUUUACAAAAGGAUGUUGAUCCUCUUCCUGUUUUUUUUUCAAUACAUUGGGUUCUAAACUGACAACAGUACUUUUGUCAUACUCCUGCACAAUCCUUGUAAACAUUUGAAAUGGAUGCAUCAAACAAUAUCUGAUCUUUGAUAAAUAUUUGUGGGUGUUUUUUGUAUUAUCUUCACUAAAAUGUCAGAUGUUGUGGGUGUCAUUUGGGAAUGUAUGAACGUAUAAUUGUUCUGCUUCCUGGCAAUGUUACCCACUGUGAUUGGAGGCUAUACAAACAAAUGUACAAAUAAAGAUACACACCACA